rnacentral:lncRNA from 1 species
CCAGCACGGUGAGGGUUGCAAUCUGGUGGUGGGUGUCGUCGGUGUAGAGCUGACAGAAGUACCCCCCCUCGUCGUCCAGCCGGGCGCGGUUCAGCACCAUGCGCAGCUGCCGCGGGGUGAACUCGGCCAGCUGGAACCGCUCGUCCUUCAGCGCGCGCGUGCCGUUGAAGAAGAGCGUUUGCCGCGCGGGGUUCUGGAUGACGACGAUGGAGCCGUCGUAGUGGUGCAGCCGGCAGGUGAUCUCGGCCGUGCCGCCCUCCAGCACCGUCACGUUCUCUGCCUGCACCUCCUGCGCCCGCCCU